rnacentral:rRNA from 1 species
UACGUAGGGUGCGAGCGUUGUCCGGAAUUAUUGGGCGUAAAGAGCUCGUAGGCGGCUUGUCGCGUCGGAUGUGAAAGUCCGGGGCUUAACUCCGGGUCUGCAUUCGAUACGGGCAGGCUAGAGUUCGGUAGGGGAGAUCGGAAUUCCUGGUGUAGCGGUGAAAUGCGCAGAUAUCAGGAGGAACACCGGUGGCGAAGGCGGAUCUCUGGGCCGAUACUGACGCUGAGGAGCGAAAGCGUGGGGAGCAAACAGG